CCCAGACAGCCAGGAUGUUGGCUUAGAAGCAGCCAUCAUUUAAAGAAAGCGUAAUAGCUCACUGGUCGAGUCGGCCUGCGCGGAAGAUGUAACGGGGCUAAACCAUGCACCGAAGCUGCGGCAGCGACGCUGAUGCGUUGUUGGGUAGGGGAGCGUUCUGUAAGCCUGCGAAGGUGUCCCGUGAGGGAUGCUGGAGGUAUCAGAAGUGCGAAUGCUGACAUAAGUAACGAUAAAGCGGGUGAAAAGCCCGCUCGCCGGAAGACCAAGGGUUCCUGUCCAACGUUAAUCGGGGCAGGGUGAGUCGACCCCUAAGGCGAGGCCGAAAGGCGUAGUCGAUGGGAAACGGGUUAAUAUUCCCGUACUUGGUGUUACUGCGAAGGGGGGACGGAGAAGGCUAUGUUGGCCGGGCGACGGUUGUCCCGGUUUAAGCGUGUAGGCUGGUUUUCCAGGCAAAUCCGGAAAAUCAAGGCUGAGGCGUGAUGACGAGGCACUACGGUGCUGAAGCAACAAAUGCCCUGCUUCCAGGAAAAGCCUCUAAGCAUCAGGUAACAUCAAAUCGUACCCCAAACCGACACAGGUGGUCAGGUAGAGAAUACCAAGGCGCUUGA
rnacentral:rRNA from 1 species